GCCCCGUGGCCUCCCUCUGAGCCCCUCAGGCCGCAGGUGCCCCCUGGACUGCAGAGUGCUUUUCUCCUGCUCUGGGGGGCCCACUGGGUUUGGCUCCCCUGCACCUGGCAGCAUUUAUUUAUCCCAGGCCUUGGUGUCACAGGGCAGGAGCCUCAGUGUCUGUUUCCUGCCACCUGCCUCCACGGGCCUCUCCAUCUGUGGGGCCCACAGCCCACACGGGGCCUGGUUCAGAGAGGCUCUCUGGCCUCAAUGAGCUGCAUCGACCUCUUGGGGUGACCAGGGGUCCAUGAGGGGUCAAGGGAGCUGUGGCCUCGACUGUGUACCUUCCAGCUCUAGGCCUCUCACCGGAGUGUGACCUCUGAGCUCCUGGUAAAACAGAGUGGAAGGACCAUCACAAGCCCCACUGGAAGACACAGUGCCACGUGGACAGCGGAUCCUGGAUCUAGUGGAUCCCCUCCCUGUGACGUUCAUCGUGGCCGUGGAUGAGUGACAGCGGCCUUCUGCCUCUAGAACGGACUCUCAGAGGAUGGGACGAGGUGAAGAGUCAGAGAAAGGGAGACUGACAGUCCAAGAGGAUCCCUGCAGAGCUGACCAAGGGGCAUCCUUUGGCAUUUCAAGGGCUCGAGGUGCCCGUGAAGGCUGCAGCCGCCCACCACCAUUCCUGCGCUUCGCUCCAGGCCAGCAUGGAAUACUGGGAACCCUCCCUGGGAAGCCGGCAAGGUCCUGGGCCGCGACUGGGGUCAGGCUUGUGCUAGAAGCAGUGGAGGGAGCUGGCUGCUGGUUCCAGCCUCAUCGCUGUGCACCCUGGCACACGGAGCCACCUUCCAGUCCCCCGCUCUGCACUCCUCUGGGAGAGGGGUGGCCCAGGACCCUUCUGGGUCUGGUGCUCACGGCAGUCAGAGAAAGCCGUUGAUCCCCACACUGGGGUGCACCCAGGUCUCGGCCCACCAUUAGACCGGCUCUCAGAGUCACUGUUGGAUCUUGAUUUGUUGCAUCACCCGUGCGAGUGGCACCCCAGGGGCGUCCUACCUCACCCUGUGGUUUGUCUCCUUCAGAGUGGUUACACAGUCUGUAAGCACCUCAGUGUUUGCUGAGAGCCCCCCCACACCUCAUCGGAUGAGAACCCCAGGGGCCUCGGGGUUGUAUCUGUCAUGAAGCAGGUGCUUUGGGACUGUGCUGAACGAACCCUGACGUACCCACCGCACUGGGUUCGUGGGAUGGGGGCUCCGUGUCUUUCUGACCCACUGUGUGAGCUCAGUGAGGGCAGGGCUGGGGUUGUCCUUUUGACUCUGCCUUAAGCUCUUCCUCUGGACACAGCACAUGAGUCAGCACCCCCCACCCCCAGGUUCCGGGUCUCGGCUGUCAUGCCCUCGGGUUGGGGAGGGGUGGGCACACCUGCCGCUAGUACGCCGUGCGAUCUUGAGCAAGUCAUUGAACUUCAUCUGAACCAAACGACCUGUUGCAAAGCUCGAAUCAGAGAAUGGACAAAGGAUGCAUUGUCAACCCUAAAGUGUUGCGCACUUCCCAGGGCGUGCGGGAGCAUCGAAAUGCAUCGCGAACCUGAAAUGAGCGAUAAAGAGCAAAACCCUCCACAUGAGGCAAGAAUUCUUACUGGUCGGCACAGCCACGUCCAUGGUGGGACGAGUCCCCCCUGUGCCCCUGCAGCAGGAACCCGCGCUUGGGAAUGGCCUGG
rnacentral:lncRNA from 12 species